rnacentral:rRNA from 1 species
ACCCGCUGAAACUUAAGCAUAUCAAUAAGCGGAGGAAAAGAAACCAACAGGGAUUGCCCUAGUAACGGCGAGUGAAGCGGCAUCAGCUCAAAUUUGAAAUCUGGCUCUUUCAGAGUCCGAGUUGUAAUUUGCAGAGGGCGCUUUGGUGUCGGCAGCGGUCCAAGUUCCUUGGAACAGGACGUCACAGAGGGUGAGAAUCCCGUACGUGGUCGCUGACCUACACCGUGUAAAGCCCCUUCGACGAGUCGAGUUGUUUGGGAAUGCAGCUCUAAAUGGGAGGUAAAUUUCUUCUAAAGCUAAAUACUGGCCAGAGACCGAUAGCGCACAAGUAGAGUGAUCGAAAGAUGAAAAGCACUUUGGAAAGAGAGUCAAACAGCACGUGAAAUUGUUGAAAGGGAAGCGCUUGCAGCCAGACUUGCUUGUAGUUGCUCAUCCGGGCUUUUGCCCGGUGCACUCUUCUGCGAGCAGGCCAGCAUCAGUUUGGACGGUUGGAUAAAGGCCUCUGUCACGUACCUUCUCUCGGGAAGGCCUUAUAGGGGAGGCGUCAUGCAACCAGUCUGGACUGAGGUCCGCGCAUCUGCUAGGAUGCUGGCGUAAUGGCUGUAAGCGGCCCGUCUUGAAACACGGACCAAGGAGUCUAACAUCUAUGCGAGUGUUUGGGUGUCAAGCCCGAGCGCGUAAUGAAAGUGAACGGAGGUGGGAUCCCGCAAGGGUGCACCAUCGACCGAUCCUGAUGUCUUCGGAUGGAUUUGAGUAAGAGCAUGGCUGUUGGGACCCGAAAGAUGGUGAACUAUGCUUGAAUAGGGUGAAGCCAGAGGAAACUCUGGUGGAGGCUCGCAGCGGUUCUGACGUGCAAAUCGAUCGUCAAAUUUGGGCAUAGGGGCGAAAGACUAAUCGAACCAUCUAGUAGCUGGUUCCUGCCGAAGUUCCCCUCAGGAU